rnacentral:rRNA from 1 species
GUUUGAUGGCGACCGGCGCACGGGUGAGUAACACGUAUCCAACCUGCCGAUGACUCGGGGAUAGCCUUUCGAAAGAAAGAUUAAUACCCGAUGGCAUAGUUCUUCCGCAUGGUAGAACUAUUAAAGAAUUUCGGUCAUCGAUGGGGAUGCGUUCCAUUAGGUUGUUGGCGGGGUAACGGCCCACCUAGUCUUCGAUGGAUAGGGGUUCUGAGAGGAAGGUCCCCCACAUUGGAACUGAGACACGGUCCAAACUCCUACGGGAGGCAGCAUG